rnacentral:rRNA from 1 species
GACGAACGCUGGCGGCGUGCUUAACACAUGCAAGUCGAACGGAAAGGCCCUGCUUUUGUGGGGUGCUCGAGUGGCGAACGGGUGAGUAACACGUGAGUAACCUGCCCUUGACUUUGGGAUAGCUUCAGGAAACUGGGGCUAAUACCGGAUAGGAGCUCCUGCUGCAUGGUGGGGGUUGGAAAGUUUCGGCGGUUGGGGAUGGACUCGCGGCUUAUCAGCUUGUUGGUGGGGUAGUGGCUUACCAAGGCUUUGACGGGUAGCCGGCCUGAGAGGGUGACCGGCCGCAUUGGGACUGAGAUACGGCCCAGACUCCUACGGGAGGCAGCAGUGGGGAAUAUUGCACAAUGGGCGGAAGCCUGAUGCAGCAACGCCGCGUGCGGGAUGACGGCCUUCGGGUUGUAAACCGCUUUCGCCUGUGACGAAGCGUGAGUGACGGUAAUGGGUAAAGAAGCACCGGCUAACUACGUG